rnacentral:lncRNA from 1 species
GAAGCUGCCAGAGUAAACUGCUUUAAGAACCGGUGGUUGUGUUUUCCUUGCUGGUCGAGUUGGACGCAACAAGUGGUGCCGAAAUCCGGGACCGACUCCCCCAUUGAAGAGGUUCAGAACUUUCUACAGUCAGGAUCUGUCGACAGGAUGAGUACAAAUCACACAGAGCCGGUGUGGGUUCCAGAGGGGCUAGUGCAACACUGUCAAAAUGAAGAAGCUGAUCUUGCUCGUGGUGAGCAUGUGUCUGCCCCUGAUGGGUGCGGAACCCAGAUGGGGGAUACUGUCAGUGUUUCCUCUUCGUCGUGAUGCUUCCUGUUAAGAAAUUCCUGUUAAGAAAUUGGACUGCAAAUUUUGAUGGCAAGAUGAAUGAGCUUCGCUCGGUGAUUGUCACUGUGAAUUCUACCCGAAUGGAUCCUGGCUUGGCAUCAGGAAAGAAUGGGCUGGGAUAGGUGCCCUCACUGUGACCCUUGUUUUGGCAUGCAUGUUGUGUGUAUGGUGUAUGUGUCAGUUGCGGAAUGCCAAGUUCCACACUGCCGCCAUGGUGGUGCAAGCUUUUGCCACAGUGGAAGCAGGGCAGUCACCUCAGAUUUGGCUUGUUACCAUGAAGAAUGAACAAUGAAGCCAUCACUCCACGGGGUUGUAAGGAUAAGCACUGCACAGAGGUUAGUCUGGAAGCUGUUUGGCCAUCUCUGGGAGGUAUGUCUGAUUGCAUGAGGGUUGAGUGUCCUAGUGUCCUUCCCCCAGGAAAUAAAAAUGGCAUGGGAGCAGGUCAGGGUUGCUCUGCGUAAAAACCUGUAAGCCUAAGAGUAAAUCCUGUCCAUUGCCCCUAUUUCUGCACACUGGGGAUCAGACCUCUAUCUUCACCCACGGAGCUUGCUUCAAAAGAAUAUAAAAGGGGGAAUUGUGGGAAGCCAUUCCGGACUCCCUGGCCAGACAGACAGAAAUCUGUGCCAGGCAGUAAAUAAGCCCGUAUUUGGUGGAUGGCUCGCCCUUAAUCCCUGAUUGGCUGAGCAAGCCUGCCUGGUGACGUGAUGUGACCUGUGGUGAUUGGUUGAGGCGUGGUUGUGGCUUGAGUGCAUAAAAACUCUUGUACCCUGGGGUUUGGGGGAGUUGAAGAAAGAAGCUGCCAGAGUAAACUGCUUUAAGAAGAAAUGGUGGUUGUAUUUUCCUUGCUGGUUGAGUUGGAUGCAACAUUAGGGGGUCUCGGUGCAUAGAGGCCCAAGAUCUUUGCCUGAAAAUGUGAAAGUGAGACCUGGAUUUUAUUGAAGACCCUACGAUGUUAGAGAUGUUGUAAUGGAAUACCUGCCAAGGAGAGCUGCUAAAAGUGUGUGGAACCAGCCCAAGAGAUAAAAGUGUGUUAAAGUCAACAAAGCAGAAAGGAGUUGGAGAUCCAAGGAACCCUUUGCCAUCAGUCAUGGAGAUGCAAAGUUUUGGAAUUUUCCCUGCUUAUUUUGGUCUGUUAUGGUCCAGCAUUUCCUCACUCUGCUCCCUUUCUUCCCCUUUUGAAUAAUGUAUAUUCUAUGCUACUGUACGUUCGAAAUAUAUAACUUAAUUUUUCAUUUUGAUGUCACAGAGGGUUACAAUGAAAAGAUUGUCAUGAGUCUCAGAACAGACCUUGAACUUCAGACUUCUAAAGAUUGUUGAGACUGUAAUAGAGCAUGAGAAUUUUUAAAGUUGGACUAAAUACAUUUUGCAUUAUAAUGUGGCUAUGAGAGCCAGGGAGUGGAAUGUGGUAGUCUGAAUGAAAAUGACCCCCAUUGGUUAACAGGAACUGUCACUAUUAGGAGAUGUGUCUAGAAAGUAGGUGGGUCCUUGUUAGAAGAAGGACGUCACUGGGAGGUGGGCUUUGAGGGUUCAGAUGUUCAAGCCAGGCCCACUGUGCCUCUCUGUUCCUGCUGUCUGACCAUUUGCAAGUCAAAUUCUUAGAUCCCUCUCUUAUAUUUUUUCUGUCUGUGGACUGCCAUGAUGAUAGUGAACUCAUAAUACUCUGAACUAUACGUCAGCCCCAAUUAAAUGCUCUCCUUUAUAAGAGUUGCUGUGGUCAUGACAUCUCUUCACAGCAGUAAACCCUAAGGCAAUACUCCAUAUGCUAUGGUCAUAAAUGUGUGCCUCCUCCCUUAAACUGUUUCUCAAAAUCCUAACUUUUCAAGGUGAUAGCACUUAGUGGACCUUUAGGGAUUUAAUUUGUUCAUGAGAGGAAUAUAUCUUUUGUCAAUGCCACUUUUCAUCUUAUAAAGGAAAAACAAGAGUCCAUUCACUACCUCUCCCAUGUGAUACAUUAAGAGUAACCUGAAUAUGUGCCCUCAUCAGACCCUGAAAAUAUCAGCAUCAGCGGAUUUUUACUCUCUAGUCUCAAAAGUUGUAAGAAUUUUUUUUUGUCUCCAAGCCAUUCUGACCAUGAUGUUUUGUUAUGCACAGAAAAACAAGAGAUGGGAUAUUAAAGUAUUUCUGGAAAUGA